AUGGGAGCCAACGGCAAGGAAGAAGUCUUGAUGGAUCCUCAGCCUGCACUCCCUGGGACUCCAUGUCUCAGGAAACACACCUACAGUUUGCCCACUGGCUCUGGCCCAAACUCUGGGAGCCUCCUGACAGUUAUACCUUGGAAUGUGCCCCAAUCCAGGGGCUUCCCACUCUGCCAUCCCAUGCAAAGAAAAUACCACAUCCUUCAUGUUAUGUUGUCCGGUAUUUCCUCUUUUCUUCCCCAUAUUCAAGGUUUUAGCCUCUCAGGCCCACCUUCCAUUCUAUCCACACCAGCUAAUGACGUUCAGACCUGGUCUUGGGAUAUGGCAGCGUGGAGACAGCCCACCCCCAGGAUGCAGAGGAGUGUUUCUUCCAGAGAGGCAUGGCUAGUUCUGAUGACUGGCAGGCUGAGAAUGGAAUGGAGGCACUGCCCAGUUCCUCUGUGCAGCAGAGACCUGUGUGGAAUGUCAGACUCUCACCCAUUCCACAGAGGAGCCUUCAGAGACUGCUGUGUCUCACCAAGCCCCCCUACAACUCCUAAGCAUGUCUGCUCGACUUCUGGCCCUGGUAGCAAUGUAACAGGGACCCUGAUACCUGGGUCCCUCACCCAAAUGCAGAUCUUGAAUCUCUGCCUUUCAUUCAAACUGAGAGAUCCUGGGAUACCUGCUGCCUGCAUGCUGAGUGACUUCCCUCCUGCCACAGACAACCUGGUGACAUGAGACCAUGGCACUGCAAUCACGCUCAGGCACUUCAACAGCCUCCUGUGGACUGCAGGCCCUGUUUCCCUAACAGGACAAAUUAUGCUCACCUUAAGGCCUACCCUGCACGGAGCAUUUCCACACAGCCCUCCUGCUCCCUCCUUCUGGCCUAUGUUCAAAUGUGGCUCACUGCAGGUCUUCCCUGACUACUGUUUACAAAUGCUAGCGUCCUUCACACUCCCUCACUUGACAUUGACCCAGGGUUGCAUACCCAGGGCUCAAAGGGUGUGAGUGAAGACCACCUCCUCCAGCCAUCUUGCCCUUGGGCCUUUACCCUCGUCUCACUCCCUUCUCUCUGGGAGUUCCAGAAUCUGCCUCCAGUCUGGAAGUGUCCACUCAUGAGCAGCCAGCAGUGGCAUCACUGUAAAUGUGACCUGGGCACACACCUAGUCUUCAAUCUCACAGGUGCAGCCAGCCCCAUGCUUGGCACAUCCACAUCUCUUGGUGUGACAGUCUAUGCUCUGGUCACUAAUUCCUGUGGCAUAAACAUACUGAGCUGUGCUGCCUCCAGCUGGAACACCCCUCUGCACACUUCCCAACCCCCAGAGUCUGGAACCAGGCCUUGGCUCUGCUGGAACCGCACAUGUUGCCCUGUGAGCACCCCUCAUGGACAUCUGGGACAUGCGGUAUCCACAUGCUUCUGGGUUCCCAGGGGUAAUGGAGCAAAGGGUUAAGAGGGUGCAGGGACAGGUAAGAUCUGAUGGGAGUUCUCAGCCCUGCCAGGGCUGGGGUGAGGUUGCUGUGCCUUCCUUCCCCUGCCAAGGCUGACCAGGGUGCCCCUCGGCCUCUUCUGGCUGUGAACAGAAAAGGGACCAAGUCAGAGAAGGCUGAAGAAAGCUGUGCUCAGCCAGACGGGAGUCAGCAGGGCUUUCUGUGAGGUGUGAGGCGCCCAGGACAUAUCUGGGCUUGGUGGCCUCUAUCAUAUUGUCUGGUAUGCUUUUUUUUUUUUUAAUCCUUAAAAACCAUUCUUCUCUCUAUCUCUCUCUCUCACUGUCCACUCUGCCUGUCAAAAAAAAAAAAAAAAAAAAAAAAACAACAUUCUUAGCCUACCGGUUAUUAAAAACAGCCUGCUGGCUAAAUUUGGUGAGCCCUGAUUGAGAUAGGUUUCUGGUGUGGAUCAGGAGAUGGUUACAAUAAAGAAUUUUAGCCUGAGCCA
rnacentral:lncRNA from 1 species